rnacentral:rRNA from 1 species
CAGGACGAACGCUGGCGGCGUGCUUAACACAUGCAAGUCGAACGGAAAGGCCCUGCUUUUGUGGGGUGCUCGAGUGGCGAACGGGUGAGUAACACGUGAGUAACCUGCCCUUGACUUUGGGAUAACUUCAGGAAACUGGGGCUAAUACCGGAUAGGAGCUCCUGCUGCAUGGUGGGGGUUGGAAAGUUUCGGCGGUUGGGGAUGGACUCGCGGCUUAUCAGCUUGUUGGUGGGGUAGUGGCUUACCAAGGCUUUGACGGGUAGCCGGCCUGAGAGGGUGACCGGCCACAUUGGGACUGAGAUACGGCCCAGACUCCUACGGGAGGCAGCAGUGGGGAAUAUUGCACAAUGGGCGGAAGCCUGAUGCAGCAACGCCGCGUGCGGGAUGACGGCCUUCGGGUUGUAAACCGCUUUCGCCUGUGACGAAGCGUGAGUGACGGUAAUGGGUAAAGAAGCACCGGCUAACUACGUGCCAGCAGCCGCGGUGAUACGUAGGGUGCGAGCGUUGUCCGGAUUUAUUGGGCGUAAAGGGCUCGUAGGUGGUUGAUCGCGUCGGAAGUGUAAUCUUGGGGCUUAACCCUGAGCGUGCUUUCGAUACGGGUUGACUUGAGGAAGGUAGGGGAGAAUGGAAUUCCUGGUGGAGCGGUGGAAUGCGCAGAUAUCAGGAGGAACACCAGUGGCGAAGGCGGUUCUCUGGGCCUUUCCUGACGCUGAGGAGCGAAAGCGUGGGGAGCGAACAGGCUUAGAUACCCUGGUAGUCCACGCUGUAAACGGUGGGUACUAGGUGUGGGGUCCAUUCCACGGGUUCCGUGCCGUAGCUAACGCUUUAAGUACCCCGCCUGGGGAGUACGGCCGCAAGGCUAAAACUCAAAGGAAUUGACGGGGCCCCGCACAAGCGGCGGAGCAUGCGGAUUAAUUCGAUGCAACGCGUAGAACCUUACCUGGGUUUGACAUGGAUCGGGAGUGCUC